rnacentral:rRNA from 1 species
CGAACGGCUGAGUAACACGGUGGCAACCUGCCUUUGCACUGGGAUAGCCUCGGGAAACCGAGGUUAAUACCGGAUACUCCAUAUUUGUCGCAUGGCGAAUAUGGGAAAGCUCCGGCGGCAAAGGAUGGGCCCGCGGCCUGUUAGCUAGUUGGUGGGGUAGUGGCCUACCAAGGCAAUGAUGGGUAGCCGGGUUGAGAGACCGACCGGCCAGAUUGGGACUGAGACACGGCCCAGACUCCUACGGGAGGCAGCAGGC